UGUGUGUGUGUGUGUGUUCGCGCACUAUGCCGACACUUACGACACGUAUAAGGUUACACACGAGCAACCUACGACAUUUUCAGAACCUACGACACAAAAGUGUGUCGUAGGUUUGGAGACCCCUUGAAAUCGGAAUUUUUCAUCGUGUUUUACCCAGAAAAUACAAAAUUUUGUAUAGUGUGAGUUUCCAUGUUACACACGACUUUUGUUACACACAACACCGAGCCAUAAUGGGGUGCUUACACACUUUGCAUCCUUGCCACAUUCUCGCGCAUGCGCAAAUUCAACUUCCUAAGGAAACGAGGUCGAGUGGAUGACAAUGCAAAUGUAAGUGUUUUUGUUUAUUUAAUUGAAUAUAAGUAGUCAAUUAAUGAUUUAAAAUUGAUAUUUUUGUUCCCGUCCGUUUAGUUUGAAUACAUUGGGGUAUGUGAUGUAUCGUUAUUCUGCAGUAAUGGUGAGAAAAAGUAAGUUGACCUUUGACACGACUAAGAUACAAUUAGAUGCGUGUAAGCUUAAAUAGUUCAAUGGUUUUCAUUUUCUGUAUGUUUUUGUGUUUGUUUUAUAUCAUCAUGAUUAUCUUCAGUAUUUUGGUUUAUCAUUGAUUUGACAAAAUGUUUUACAAAUACAGAAUCAAGGAAUAGUUAGAAUUUCCUCUUCAAUACAAUAUCGGUGUACACGUUUUUUUUUAGACAUAUGAACAUCGUUAAAAGCAACAAUUCUCUAAAUAUUAAAUGAGAAUUGAAUUAUUAUACACAGUAUAUUUGUCAUUCUUUGAUGAAUAUGCGUAUCUUAAUGUAUAACAUUGAUAUAUAACAAACUGACGAACAACUGGAAUUUCCUCUUUAGAAUAUUCUAUCUUAGCUUGGCAAAAUAUUUUCAAUAUUUUCAAAGAUAUAAACCCCGUUUCAAAGCGACAAUAUCAAAGAAAAUUAAACAAGUACAUAGCUCCAAAAAAUUGGGUCUUUAUUACCACUAUUUUUGGAUAUUAUUAACUGGUAACCGGUGGAUAGCUCCAGCCUCUUUCCCCUUAAUAAGGAAGGUGUGGUCAAGCGCGGUUAAACAAGUUCUUGGGGAAAAUAUUGUUUACCUUAUUUUAAGAAAUUGUUUAGAUUUCAUUUUGUUCCAACAUCGACCAGUUGCAAAGAUUUUGGGUUAAUUUAUCUGAUGGUUGACUUUACGCCAUGGCUAUAAACAACUUUAUAUAAUAUGUUGAUUUAUAGGCGUUGAAAGAAAUUUCCAAAUAAAGGGUGUUGAAAUCAAAUGGGACAAGGACAUUUAAAGUAUGUGCGGUUCAAGUGUCUCUCAUCAAUAUGAAUAGAAUGAAAAAUAAAGUAAUUUGUCCCAAAAUGAAGUCCCCCCCCCCCUUUCUUCUCUCCAACCCCAUCCCCAUUUGUGCAUGCAGCUAGAUCCAGUGUUUUCAUACCAGACCAAAUUCAUGUUAAAUUAUCAAUGUUUGUCCUGUUAAGAAGAUAUACUUUUUAAGUAAAUGGAAACUCCAAUCUAGUUCACUGAAUUUAUGAAAAGGCAAGAGCAGAUCCGGAUUUCUCUCUCUCUCUCUCUCUCUCAGAGUGUUGCCAAAUCGGUGUAACUUACAUUAAAAAAAAUAAAGGGGUUUCGGUCAAGGGCUACCGCUAUUUUUAGAGCGACCCUGAACACUAGCGACAGCGAUCACCGCAACACCGGCACCAGAACAUGUACAGACUGUUCAAUCGAGUGGGGAAGAUCCCCAGGGCUUUUUGUAAAUUUCAUAUAAAGUUGCAGAAAUGACAUUUUUUAUCUUUGUUUAUUUUUUUACUUAUUCAAUUGUAAGAAAUCAGAUACUAUUUAUAUGUAUUUCUAAAAAUAAAAUUGAAAAAAAAAAUAAUAAAUCCAUUACGAGAUUCGAACUGGGUACAUGUUAUCGUGAGUUUCAUAGACAUCUCUAACGAUUACGUAACAGUGUUUUAAUCUUCACACUCUUGUUAUUUCACACUCUCAAAUAAAUGAAGUUAUGUAAAUCAAUUUUGUGUAGCCUAUGUUUCAAAAUAUUAUCUGUAUUUUGCACCAUUUACAAAUGUAAAAUAGUAUUGUUAAAAAUUCAGAAGUUUUUGAAUUUGUCAGCACUUGGAGAUUAUUUUUCUCGUGCCGUAGACCGACUGAAGAAGAAAAAAAAAGGGGUCAGAUUAUUUUCUUAGUGCUGUGUUUAAAGUUAUGUAUUAUUGACGCAACAGAUUAUGAGAUACAGAUGAAACAUGCAGGGAACCAUGUAAAUGAUUCUGAAAGUGGCUACCCAGGUGCUGUUUAAGGAAGCUUGUAAUAGGAGUGGAAAACCACCCAAAAACUGUGUGUCUCAAAAUGCCAGUAGAGACAUAGAAAGAAGAGAGGAACUAGCUUGGAUAUCAUUAUGAAGAACCUAACCUCCUUGGAGUCAAACUAUAUUCAGAGGGAAUGCAGAUACUGAGGCCCCCAAGCUCAUCUAGGAAGUCGGGAAGAAAAAAGCGAGCCAAUGUUCAGUGCCACACUUGGACCACUGCAGAAAAGGCAGCUUUGUAAAGACAAUUUGAGACUUUCAUCAAACUAGGAAAAACUCUGGCUCAGGUUGACUGUCUAAAAUCCAUUUGGAAGGAGAAAUCGCUGUCCAGUUUAACAUGGUGUCGUGGAAAGUUUGCUGUUAAAAAAAUUACUUCCUGGCAGAGGUGUUACAAAGAGUUAAUCCAAUUUUUAUGCCCCCUCCAUUUGAACGAGAGGGGACGUAUAUAUUGUUUUACAUGACUAAUUCGGUCUGUAGAGCAAAUCUUGUCUGCUCAAUAUCUAAUGACUUCUUUUGCUUGACUGUUUCCAAACUUGGUACAAUGAUUGCCCCUAGAUAGUGAAUGAACCAUAUUAAUUUACAGGUCACAGGGUCAAGGGUCAAACUGGACACAGUAAGAUAUUGUCUGUUCAAUAUCUUGAGAACGCUUUCCUGACAGACAUCAAACUCGGUAUACUGGUUUCUUUUAAGAAGUAGGUGGUUUCUUUUAAGAAGUAGAUGGUUUCCUUUAAGAAGUAUAUGUCCCAUAAUGUCCCAUAUUCAUUUUGAAGUCACAAGGACAAAGGUCAAACUGUACAUAAUAAAAUAUUGUCCACUGAAUAUUUAAAGAACCAACCCUUUACCUGACAGUUACUAAACUUGGUACAGCGGUUGCCCCUAGAGAGUAGAUGACCCCUACUGAUUUCCAGAUCCCAAGGUUGAAGGUAAAAUUGGACAUAGUAAGAUACCGUCCGUUCAAUAUUUGAGAACCAUUCGCUUGACAGACAUCAAACUUGGUUCACUAAUUUUCCUUAAGAAUUAGAUACCCCAUGGAUUUUGAGGUCACAAGGUCAAGGGUCAAACUGGACAUGACAAGAUAUUGUCUGCUCAAUAUAUUGAGGACUCUUUGCUUGACAGAUAUCAAAUCAGGUACACUUGUUCUACCAAAGGAGUAGAUGACUCCAUUUGAUUUUGAAGUCACAAGGUCAAUGGUCAAAAUGCUACGGACAUAGGUAUUGUCUACACAAUAUCUUGAGUUUGCGUUUCUUGACAGACAUCAAACUUGGUACACUGACACAUCAUAAGUGUAGAUAUCUAGUAUUCAUUUUAAGGUCAAUGGUCAAACUACUCUGGACAUCAGAUUUUGUCCAUUCAGUAUCUUGAGAACCCUUGUUUGACAAACAUCAAACUUGGUAGUCUGGUGCCGCCUAAAGAAUAGAUGGCUCCCAUUGGUUUUAAACUCUCAAGGUCAAAGGUCAGGACUCAAAUAACUGGUUAUUUGAAAAUAUCUGCUCAGUACCUUUAGAGAUCACAUAUAAUGGUUGCCUCUGACUAAUAGAUACAUUGUAACUUUUGCUACAGACAUUCUAAAUGAUCAUUUUCAAUAUUGUAAUAUGGAGGGCAUAUAUGUUUCUUAAAUCUUUCUUGUAAAUGGUUUUGAUACUAGUUUUAUAUACAAGAUGUAUUAUCAGCAUUUGUCAUUCAUUGUACACCAUACAUUGGUUCAUUCAAAAUUGAUAAAUAUAUAAUCAACAGCAGUACACAUGAAAUAAUUCUCCAUCUAUAUCUUGAAUUGAACAAAAAGUUUAAUGGUAUUCCAAGGCCUUAUAUUCAUGUGCGAUUGAAAGACUGAAUGAAUAUACUAAGAUAAUAUAACAGUAUUUAACUAAAACUAAUUGCAGUUUAACACUAAUGUACUUAUAAUGUAAUUGAUAGUACCAUGCUCUUACUUGUAACUUGUUUUCAUUUAUAUUCAAUAGAUAUUUCAAGUUUGAUAGCUAACUCAAAUUUCAAAUAUGAAUGAACAUUAAGUGUCUGCUGUUUUAAGACUAAAGAGUAGCUUUAUUUACAUCAUAUGAGGUUUUUUGAGCUAAAUUGAUCAGCUUUGUAUGCUUAUGAAAUAAAUAUGUACACCUAUA